rnacentral:rRNA from 1 species
AGGAGAAGUAAAAGUCGUAACAAGGUUUCCGUAGGUGAACCUGCGGAAGGAUCAUUAAUGAAAUGUUUGUUGAGAAGGGUUGUAGCUGGCCUCCAGGGGCAUGUGCACACCCCGAUCGCAUCCACCUCCCACACCUGUGCACCGCCUGUAGCUUGGGAUGAUCACGGAGCCCUGAUGGGUGACGAAUGCCCUCGUCUAUGAAUAUUUCACACACGCUCAAAGUAUGACAGAAUGUAUAUCAUAUUGCGUCUGAUAAACGUGACAAAUACAACUUUCAACAACGGAUCUCUUGGCUCUCGCAUCGAUGAAGAACGCAGCGAAAUGCGAUAAGUAAUGUGAAUUGCAGAAUUCAGUGAAUCAUCGAAUCUUUGAACGCACCUUGCGCUCCUUGGUAUUCCGAGGAGCAUGCCUGUUUGAGUGUCAUGAAAUUCUCAACUGCCCCAGGCUUUGUGGCCUGCGGGUGAAGUUGGACUUGGAGGUGUGCUGGCGCAUGAAUGGGCUUUGUGUCCUGCCGUGCUUGUCGGCUCCUCUCGAAUGCAUGAGCUUUCCAAUCCUUGGCAAAGUAUCRUCGAUGUGAUAAUUAUCUACGUCGUCUGAGAAAGCCGAAAAGGGGAAAUCUUUGAUCACGCCGGGGUGACCCGUGUCUGACACAUUCGACCUCAAAUCAGGUAGGACUACCCGCUGAACUUAAGCAUAUC